rnacentral:rRNA from 1 species
GCCCUGUGACCGCAAGGUUUAACGGCCGCGGUAUCCUGACCGUGCGAAGGUAGCGUAAUCAUUUGUCUUUUAAAUGAAGACCCGUAUGAAUGGCAUAACGAGGGUUUAACUGUCUCCCUUCCCCAGUCAAUGAAAUUGAUCUACCCGUGCAGAAGCGGGUAUAUAACCAUAAGACGAGAAGACCCUAUGGAGCUUUAGACAAAGGAUCGCACAUGUAAAGGGGGCCUAUUAUCCAAAAGGACUACAGUGGCCGUAAAACCAAAUGUACAACGAACCGAGUGUCUUCGGUUGGGGCGACCAUGGGGGAGAGAGAAGCCCCCACGAGGAACGGGGAAACCCUGAGCUAAGAGGGACACCUCUAGGCAACAGAAAAUCUGACCGCAACUGACCCAGGACAACGCUCCUGAUCAACGAACCAAGUUACCCUAGGGAUAACAGCGCAAUCCUCUCCCAGAGUCCAUAUCGACGAGGGGGUUUACGACCUCGAUGUUGGAUCAGGACAUCCUAAUGGUGCAGCCGCUAUUAAGGGCUCGUUUGUUCAACG